GUGCUGCGUCCGAAUUGCCCGCUCGGAUACUACAUGCUACUGCUACAUACUACUGCUAGAUCCUACUCCUACAGACUAAACACGUUGGCCCAAUUCGGACACACUAGACGAGCGGUGGGGAAAGACGACCCCCGCAGGCAGAGAGUAGGUACUGCGCCCGUUUUAGACUGAAUGGUAAUUGUGCAAGUGAUGGAUGCUGCUGUAUUAUAUUCCUGCACUGCUUUAGAAAUUCACAAAGUAGCUUUUCCAUUACUUUUAGCCUUCAUUCACCCAUGUGGUGAUCGUUAGUUCAAUGAGAUCUGCCUGAUUACUGCAGCUGUGCAGUUUAAUGAUGGAAUAAGUGAGCUUUACCUCCAUGAUGUCGCCACAUAUUUGCUCAUAAAAUGAUUACUUGGGCAAAUAUGACACCAUGACAUGACAAAGAGAUACAACUGCACAUUUUUUAGGACAGUGUGUGAAGUUACAUGAAACUUACAACUGUACUGCUGCGGUCCCGCCUGCUGCUGCUGCUCCGACAUGGUGCGCGCUGCUGUGGCCAGCCGGCGUUCGCGACACAUUUAAAUAGGCAGAGCAGCUGGUGGCGCUAGCAUCACAUGCGCUUCUACAACUUUUAAGAGGACGAAGAAGAAGCCCGCGGUGCAUUUUGGGUCAGUAGCAUGCCCGUAGGAUGCACCGCGACCAACCUACAAUGUGGGCGUGUCUAGUAUCCGAAGUAGUAUCUGAAGUAGCAUGCUACUCGCUCCGGUGGCCAAUUCGGACAUGCUAGAUACUACUUCGACUACUACUUGGCAAUUCGGACGCAGCUAAGGAUGUUAUGCAUCCCAACUUCUCUUCGCCCUGUUUAUCAAACCCCUGAGUCAGUGGAUUAGACAGAGUCCUAAUAUAAAACGAGUAUUAAUGACACCAGGGGAGUAAAAAAUAUCUCUUUUUGCAGAUGAUUUAUUGCUGAGUUUGACACAACUGACACAGACUCUCCCAAAGUUAAUAGAAAUGCUACGGGAGUAUGGCUCACUUUCGGGGUAUAAAAUUAAUGUAAAUAAAACUCAAGUCUUGCCUUUUAAUUACAACCCACCACCAGAGAUUAGAACUAUUUACAAAUGGAAUUGGGACACAGAAUUUAUAAAAUAUCCGGGAGUCAACCUGCCUCUUUCAGUGCCUCCCAGUUAAAAUACCACCAGAACAAUUUUUAGAAUGGGACAGAUUGAUAUCAAGGUACAUAUGGCAAGGGAAAAGAGCCCAAAUUAAAUAUAAAACAAUGCAAUUAAGAAAAGAAAAGGGGGCAGCCUCCCAUGCCUUCAGGAAUAUUACCAUUCAGCACAGUUUAGGCCAUUAAUCUGCCUAAGUCUUCCAGCAUUCACUUCAGGAUGGAUGGAUAUAGAAGGCACAGCAGUUAAGGGAGUACCAAUAUUAACUCUACUGGCUGACAGCAGGCUGCAGGACCAACUGGGGGUCUCUGAGGGUCCCAUGCCUGAUAUUCUUUUGAAAUCUUGGAAAGAGAUCAUUAAAAUUUGUAAGUUGGAAAACCCAUCUAAAAUUUUGAGGUGGUGUGCCUACGAUUCGGACUUUGCACCAAAUAAAAACAAUAACAGAUUCAAGAAAUGGAUUACUAAGGGCUUGACCACAAGGGGGCAUUUCAGACAUUUGAGACAUUGCAGAAUAAAUAUGGUUCGGAAAAAGAUGAGUUCCAUAGAUAUCUGCAGGUGAGAAGCUACUUUUGCCAAAAUUUUGGGGGGGGUCUUGGAUGGGGGUGGGUUGGGAUUUCUGCAUGAAUUUCUAUCACUACUUAGGUCCUAAAAAUAUAAUAAGAUAAUAUCUAAACUAUAUAAAGGUAUUCAACAAUUCAAGCAAGAGACCUCCGAUUACAUAAAGGUAAAAUGGGAAAGUGGAGAGUUGGGGAAAAAUAUGCAAGUUUCAGUGGAAUUCAACAGGGUCAAAUAUCUGGUGAGAGAGGUUUGCUGGAGGCUUUGCGGGACCAAAGGAAGCCAAUCAUUUUCAUAUUUUCUGGGACUGCCAGAUUAUUAAAAAAUACUGGGAAGACAUUUAUGAGCAUAUUAAGAAUUUGUUUUGUACAACCGUCGUAUUUAAUUUUGAAUCAAUGUACUUAUGUGAAAUACAAUUUGAGAGUUGGAAUUUUAAUGACAGGAAACUUCUGAGUAUUUUACUGGCAGCUAGUAAAAAAUCUAUCGCAAGAAAAUGGUUUAAGGCAGACCCACCAAACAUUGAGGACUGGAUGGAUGUUACACAUGAGAUUUAUAUUAUGGAAAAACUGUCAUUUUCCCUCAAAUUAGGAAGUGAAAAUUUUUAUCAGGUAUGGUCGGAAUAUGUGAAACCUAGAAGAUCAGAUUUUGUCUAAAUUUGGGAUGAACCCCCUUUUUUUUUCUUUCUUUUUUUUCUCUUUGAAAGCUAAAAUACCUUUAACAACUAAUGAUGUCAGUGUGUGCUCCCUGUUGGGUUCUGUUUUUGUUUUUGUGACGUGUUACAACGAUGACCAAUAUAGACAUGAAAAACUUGAGAGGCACCAUGGAUAAAGACACUGAGACUUUCUGCAGUUAAACAUCCAAGAGCAAAGUGGAAGGAAUCAUCAAAAUGUGAUAUGAAUACUUCUAAUAAAUCUUGCAAUGUUUUAACAGUCACAAGAGAUGUUUUGUGCACUGUGCAUUUAAGGAAUCUAAGUGCCUUUCAAAUAAAAAGUGAAUUUAAAAAAAAAACCUGGGCGUAAUUUUCGACUCUGAGCUCAGUUUUAUUCCAGAUAUCAAAAACAUAGCAAACUUAGGUUUUAACCACCUUAAAAAUAUAGUCAGAGUCUGCCCGUUUCUCUCCUAGGCCAGCACAGAGGUGGUGAUGCAUGAAUUUAUCUCCUUUCGUUUAGAUUAUUGUAAUGCCCUGCUCUCUGGCCUCCCCAAGAAGAACUUGCAUACAGUUCAGCUAUUACAAAAUUCAGCUAAGAGUGCUGACAAGGGCCAGAGGGCGAGAGCAUAUAACCCCAGUUUUAGCAUCGCUGCAUUGGCUCCCCGUCCGUUUCAGGAUUGAUUUUAAGGUUCUUUUAUUAGUUUUUAGAUGUAUUAAUGGUCUUGGCCCCUCUUAUUUAUCUGAUUUAUUCAUUAUUCUUUAUCUAUCUGAUCAUAUCAACCCUCGUGGACCCUCACCUUUUUACCAGGCUUUUCAAUGAUUGCCUUUUCAUAUUUCUCUCAUUGCAAAUGUUCAUUUUAAUUGAAGUUCUUGUUUCUUUUAUGUAACCUUAUUAAUUAUCUCUGUUCUUAGUCUUUUUUCUUAACUUCAUCCUUGGAGGAUUUUACUUCUUUUACCCCUUUUAUAUGAUAAAGAGCUCUUACUUAUUUGUUCAUUUAAUAUUAUUUUCUUGUUUUAGUUUAUCUUUCUUUUUACCAUUUCUCUCUUUCUUUCUUUCUUUCUUAUCCAGUGUUCCCCACAAGUAGCUCUUUCCUCACGCAAUGUCUUGGUGUCAGGCCAGUGCAACCUCAAGGAUGUUCUUGGUGGCUUUCCUCACCUGCAGUCCUCUAAUGUCAAGGAGUUUGAAUACUCGCUGUUAAGGACUGUUAGUAGGAUGAGGUAGAUGGCUGGAUCAGGAUAAAGGAUUUGACUAUCUACUGUGGGGCAUUGGUAAAGACAGGUAUGGUACAGGAACAGGCAGGUAUGCGUUUUACAACAUUCAUUCAAGGUCCUGAUAAGCAUAGAAUACAGGUAUGUAUGUAUGUAUGUAUGUAUGUAUGUAUGGUUGCUGACAACAGAAAGGGAAUAUCAGGAAUUUGUAAACUGAUUUAUAAUAACCAGUAUCUGAUACAUAACAUGUAUAAUGCACAUAAGCUGUGGCUCACAAACAUAAGCCAUGAUAAAAGAAAUUAAUUAUAAUUUAGGCCAAAUAACGUAAAUAUAUGCAAACUAUCCAUCAAAUGAAAAUGCAAUUAGACUUACAUUCCUUACAAACACAUACACGCUUCAUACUAUCAGGUGUGUCUACUAUCCAGUAGACAACAUGUGGGAUUAGGCCCCUCAUUAGCUGUCUUAACUAUGCCUGAGUAGAAAAAAGGAAACAUUUCUUAAAGGGACGGUAUCACAGGUAAAAUUCAAAUUCAACUUUAUUUGUAUUGCACUUUUCAGACAAAAAAAUAUAAUUCAAAGUGCCUCACAGAGGCUAAAAACAAUAAUUUAACAACAAUAAAAACUCGACCCUCACUCACCCACACAUACACACACACAAGCGCACACAGAGUGAGAAUUUAUGAUAUAUUGUUAAAGGGACAUGGCCUGAGGGUGCCAAGUAUCACCAUGAGAUGUAUUUGUUAAAUCUUUUCAGACAUUUAAAAAGUAAAAACAAGAGGCCUAUUUCAAGCAGCCAGUAGGAUGCUUUGAUCCCACACUAUUUUUGAGUCAAUUGAUCACAUGACCUGGAACUACUGAGUUAAAAUGCUAAUAUUUAAUAAUUUAAAAAUGCAGCAUGCAGGUAAUGCAAUCAAUUGACUCAAAAUCAGUGUGGGAUCAUAGUACUCUACUGGCUGCAUGUUUUUACAUUUCAAUUCUGUUCAUAUAUCUUCAUAAUUUUCUAUAUAUAAAUAUUAGCAUUUAAGCUCAACAUUAAGCUGGUUUAGCUGAUUUGGUUGAAUUAGUAGAUGAGGUGGGAAGAGUUUUUGAGUUUAGUUUGAAUGGGUUGCAAAUCAGUUUCAUUCUCUCUAACAUACAUUUUUAUCUUUUCUUCUUAUUAAAUGAAAAUCAUAUUUUGUAUCAGUGUAAUACAUUUGUUGUUUCCAAUGGCUAAUUAAGAGAAUGUGUUAUUUAAUCAUACAGACUUAAAAAUGUAAUGUCAAUAUCCAUGCCUUGUUGAUGUCCUAUGGACAAAUAAAGAAAAGGUUUCCGAAAACACUUGGAUUUGAUUUACUGUAUCCAAUAUGUAAAACAUGUCCUUUGCCAGUAACACAACCUGUUUCUUUCUGUCAUAUAUUGUGCCACAAGUUUUUGUCUUAUGCUAUAAGAUUGUCAACCUCUGUAGCACCAGCACUAUGGACAAAAAAGUUAACAUACAGUCCUGCUGUAUAGCUCAACUUGACGUGAUAUAUGGUCUGUGUAUACACCUUUUGUCAUACUACCAAGACCAAUCACCUCUGCCAAUUUACUUCUCAAUGGCUGGGGCAACCCUUUCUGUAUUUUAGCUUACAAAAUGGACUGUUCCAUUUGGUGCAAAUCUGGAUUUCCUGUAACAUUUCUCCAGAUCUGAUGAGCCCUUGAUGAAUAAGUCCUUGGAUUUUCCUGUAGCCUGAGUGGUUUAAUGAAAAUAUUAUCAAGAUGUACAUUUGUUGGAAAUGUAUUUCUAAAUGCUCUCCACAUCCUAGCUCUCAAUCAACCAAUCAAAUCAAAUUUUAUUUAUACAGCGCCAAUUCACAACAGUCGUCAUCUCAAGACGCUUUUCAAAGAACAAGAGCAGAGGUCCGUUUCACGUAGCAGGUUUAAUGGAAACUCCGAGUUUGUUAACCCUGAAAUCAGGGAAACUCUGAGUUUUCCGUUUCACAAAGGAGGGUUAGUUAAACCAGGGAGAGAGGGGUAACUCUAACCUGUUUCACAAAGAGAGGUAACUCAACCUCGCGGUCAGUUACCACAGUAACAGACUCCGUGAACCUAACCUGCUCGGGAGCAGGUUUAACUCAGUAAACCCAGAGUUUCAGGUGAGACAUCGGCAUUUUCUCAUUUUGAUCAUGUUUUACAUUGUCAAGUAAGUAUUAAUUGGCAGUUUGAUCCCUUAAAAAAUGCUGUUUUCACACUCAAAACUGAAUUUUACUCUCUUAUUAUGUUCCGUUAAAUGAUUAGGAAUAUUAAACUAACACAAAAACGGGUGGUGGUCCAGCAGCCCCACCUUUAACGGAGGCAGAGGAGGUGCCCCCCCCCCACACCCCCCCACCCCCCCCCCCCCCCACCCCCCCCCGUUCGACGAUCGCGGCCGGUCCGAUCGCAAAUCCCCCCCCCCCCACACACACACACACACACACGCACACACACGCACACUAGUCCGACGAUCGCUGCUCCGGGGUGGGGGUUGCGAUCGUCGAGGGGGGGGGGGCAGCUCCUCUGCCUCCGUUAAAGGUGGGGCUGCUGGGCCACCACCCGUUUUCCUGGCAUCUGCCCUCUUUCUGUUUGCUGAGUGAAAGUCUAAUAUUGAGUGUAGUGUGUGUUAGUUUAAUAUAUGUACAUAUACAUACUGAGAGUUAGUUUAAUAUUCCUAAUCAUUUAACGGAACAUCAUAAGAGAGUAAAAUUCAGUUUUAAGUGUGAAAAGAGCAUUUUCUAAGGGAUCAAACUGCCACUUAAUACUUACUUGACAAUGUAAAACAUGAUCAAAAUGAUUCAAGCAGUUUCCCUGCAACAGUCUGUCAUUGUGAUUGCACGAGACUAGAUUUAAAGUUACGCAUUGACGCGAGCAGCGAUUUCCUCCCAUGCCCUCUCCCUCUGCUUUGCAGCUGCUGCUGUAUUGCACUUUCUUUUAAAAACGUGCUGUAAUUCGCUGUUGGCUUGCUGCUGCCCCCUCCUUCUCCUUGUUUCCAUUGGUUGAUCAUUGAAUCUGCGCUCCACAGAUGCUGGCUGUUUAUGUCUGGCGUGCACGUGCUUAACUCCAGGUCAAACUACUCGGAGUUGUUAAAACCGUCUCAAAUCAGGUGUUGUGAAACCGAAAACUCAGAGUUUCCUAACUCAGAGUAGAUCAACUCAGAGUUAAGGAUUUAACUCAGAGUUUGUUGAACCACCUACGUGAAACGGACCCCAGGUCUAGACCAUGCUCAUUGUUUGAUGAUCAAGAACCAACCUAAGAUGGGUUUUGGCCCAUCUCAUCUAACAUGAAUAGCAGUGGCAAGGAAAAACUUUCUUUUAACAGGCAGAAACCUUGGGCAGGACCUGACUCAUGCCAGUCAGCCACCAUGCCGCUGCUUGGUGGGGGAGGAAUGUAGAGAGAUAAAAGGAGAGAGAGAGAGAGAGAGGGAGAGAGAGAGAGAGAAGAGGGGAGAGGGCAGGGGGAGAGAGAGAGAACAAGAUAAGGGAAGGGGGGAGAGAAUGAGUAAGGAGAGGGAGGAGGAGGGAGAGAGAGUAGAGAACGAGGGUGAGAGAGAGACAGGGGACAGCAGAAACAACAGCAACAACAACAACAACAGCUCAUGUAAUGCUGAAACAAAAUGAGCUCAGUUUACAGGGUUAGGAUAUGAGUAAUUAUGGACUAUGUUAAAUUAAUUAAAUGUGAUUACAGUCAGCAGGCCUAAUAGUAGUCAACUCUAGUUUUAUGUUAUUAAUGUCAGUGAGGCUGAUGUUCAUGUCUGCAGUAACAGUCCAGAGGAAUCCAAGAGAAGAAGGAGCUCAGGGCCUGAGGCGGACGAUCGUAGACGAUGCGGCUAGAGUCAGGCAGGUCUGCAGCAUCAGUCCAGAGCAACCUAGGGGGCUGGGGCUCAGAGACAUACAGAGAGAUCUGGUUAGCAAUUUGAUGAGAGAAAAUGACUUUAAUGUACAGGGUAAUGAAGUAACUAAUUAUGGACUAUGCUAAAUUAAUUUAAGGUGAUUAAAGUUAAAACUCAAGUUUUAUUUCAUAGAUGUCAGAUAGGCUGACGUACGUGUCUGCAGCAAUGGUCCAGAGGAGCCUAAGAGAUGGAGGAGCUCAGGGCCUAAGGUGGUCAAUCAAGGAUGUUGCAGCUGGGAUCAGGCAGUUCCGCAGCAGACCGUCUGCAGCAUUAGUCCAGUGGAAGCUAAGAGACUCAGAGACACUCAGAGGGACAGAAAUCUGGUUAGUGACUUAUAUGGGACAUAAAGAUCUAAAGGAGAGAUAGAGACAGACUCUAGCUCAGUGUGCCAGAUAACCCCGACAGUCUAGGCUUAUAGCAGCAUAACUAAGAGCUGGUUCAAAUCAGCCCCAACUAUAAGCUUUAUCAAAGAGGAACGUUUUACGUCUACUCUUGAAAGUUGAGAGGGUGUCUGCCCCCCGAACCUCGAGCGGUAAAUGAUUCCAGAGGAGAGGUGCCUGGUACCUGAAAGCUCUUCCUCCAAUACUACUUUUAGAGACAUUUGGUACAACAAGCAGGCCUGCAGACUGUGAGCGUAACUGUCUAGACAGAAAGUAAGGUAUGACAAGCUCGUCGAGAUAUGAUGGAGCCUGGCCGUUAAGCGCUUUAUAUGUCAUAAGGAGGAUCUUAAACUCAAUUCUAGAUUCAAUAGGGAGCCAAAGAAGAGAGACUAAGACAGGAGAGAUGUGCUCCCUUCUUCUGGUUCUAGUCAAUACCCGAGCUGCUGCAUUUUGGACCAGCUGAAGAGUCCUUAAAGACUUACUGGAGCAGCCUGAUAAGAGAGAAUUGCAGCAUAGAGGUAACAAAGGCAUGGACCAUUUUUUUCCGCAUCACUCUGAGACAGAAUGGGUCUAAUUUUUGAGACAUUGCGCAGGUGGAAAAAAGCUAUCCUAGACAUUUGUUGAAUGUGGGAGCUAAAGGACAAAUCCUGAUCAAAUAAAACUCCCAGAUUUCGCACAGUGGGCUGGAUGCCAGACUGAUGCCAUCUAGCAUAGCUAUAUUAUUAGAGAAUGCCUCUCUAAGGUGUUUAGGACCGAGGACAAGAACUUCAGUUUUGUCUGAGUUGAGCAUCAGAAAGUUAUUGGUCAUCCAGGAUUUUAUAUCUUUGAGACAAGCUUCGAAUUUGAUAACCUGGUUUGCUUCUUCUGGCUUCAUGGAUAAACAUAACUGGGUGUCAUCUGCAUAGCAGUGGAAAUUAAUCGAGUACUUCCUCAUAAUUUUACCCAGAGGAAGCAUGUACAAGGUAAAGAGGAUUGGUCCAAGCACUGACCCUUGCAGGACUCCGUAGCAGACCUUGGUGUGCGCAGAGGAUUCAUUAUUAACAUGGAAAAACUGGGAUCAAUCCGUUAGAUAAGAUUUAAACCAGGAAAGAACAGAUCCUUCUAUGCCGAUAUAUUGUUCCAGUCUCUGAAGCCGGAUGCGGUAGUUGAUCGUGUCAAAUGCAGCACUAAGAUCCAACAGGACAAGAACAGAGAGAAGACCACAGUCCGAAGCCAUGAGUAGGUCAUUUGUCACCUUCAGCAGAGCAGUCUUCGUGCUGUGAUGGGUUCUAAAUCCAGACUGGAAAUCCUCCAAUAAACCGUUGUUAUGAAGAAAAUCACAAAGUUGAUUCGCAACUACUUUCUCCAGGACUUUAGAAAUAUAAGGAAGGUUGGAUAUUGGUCUAUAGUUAGCUAGGAUGCUUGAGUCAAGAGUAGGUACUUGAGUUACUUUUUUAAGGAGAGGCUUAAUCAAUGCAGUCUUAAAAGACUGGGGAACAUAUCCUGUUAAUAAAGACAUGUUGAUCAAGUUAAGCAAGGACGUACUGAUCAAAGGAAGAGUUUCCUUCAGCAGUUUAGAUGGAAUUGGGUCCAAAAGACACGUAAAUGGUUUGGCUGCCAGCACCACUGACUAUAAGUCAGGAAGGUCAAUAGGUGCAAAGUUACUAAGGUGCAUCAGAGGCCUUAGGGGUUCCUCAACAAUUUCAGGGUUAUCUAAGAGAAAGACACCUGACAAAGGCAAGAGGUUACCAAUUUGACCUCUUAUUUUUAAGAUUUUUUCAUUGAAGAAGCUCAAGAAGUCGUCGCUGCUGAGGGCUACUGGGAUACACGGUUCAGCAGUGCUCUUACAGUCCGUCAGCCUGGCUACAGUGCUGAAGAGAUAUCUGGGGUUAUUCUUAUUUUCUUCAAUAAGAGAUGAGUAGUAAGUUGUAUGAGCACGUCGUAAGGCCUUCUUAUAUUUAUCAAGACAUUCCUGCCAGAGAAAACGAGCUUCAGCUGUUUUGGAAGAGCGCCAAAUCCUUUCUCGUCUUCUUAAUAACUGUUUCAGCUCACGGGUUUCAGCAUUAUACCACGGAGCCAGCCUCUCGCGUGUAAGUGUUUUCUGUCGAAGAGGAGCAACUGCGUCAAGAAUUGAUCGCAAUGUGCCUGAGGUAUCAUCGACGAACUGAUCAAGUUGCAAGGGAAUGAUGUUCAAGUAUGAGCUAUCAGCGAAGUUCUUCUCAAGCACAGAAUUAAGAGCAGAUGGACUUGCCUCCUUGAACUUAGUCACAGCAUUUUCAGACAACCUUCUUGUUAGCACGGCUUUGUUAUGAGGAGAGUAGCCUGAAAGCACAAAUUCAAAAGUUACUAGAAAGUGAUCCGAUAAAAGAGGAUUCAAUGAGCUGACUGACAAGGCUUCAGCUUCAAGCCAGGACAAGAUCGAGGGUGUGGUUAAAGCAGUGUGUAGGUCCAUGUACACACUAUGUAAACCCAAUUGAGUCUAGCAAGGACAAGAAAGAAUAGCUUAGGCUAUUGUUGUGUCUGGGCUGUCCUCGAUGUGAAGAUGCAGAAGGAGGUUUCGUGACACUGGCUUGCUUGUAUAAGAGGAGUUUAUUAUAAAGACAACACCAGUAUCAGAACAGCACUGCAGUUGCUGGGAGAGGACUGCCAAUGAUGUCCAGCUCUCCCAACCAGAGUUAAUGACCCUGUUAUAUACGGUUAGGGAUGUAAGCCCUCCUACAUCCCUUCUUUGUCCCCAAGAUAUCUUUCAUUACCAUCUGGUUUUUGGUUAACCUAGAGUUUUGCUUUGCGACCUGUGACCUGCAAACGUGCCCCUUCCAGGAUAUCCCGACCCAGGUACCACCGAGACACAAGAAAAACACAAGCCCACAUUCCACAAUUGGUUCUAAGGCUAUUCCUGAGAAAUACCGUAAGGCAAUGCAUAUUGAUGUAGAACUCCAGAUACCAUACUAUCAUUUUCCACAUCCACAUGAAUAUUAAAGUCACCAACUACAAUGACUUUGUCUGCACGAAGGACUAGAUCAGAUAGAAACUCUGAGAAUUCUGACAAAAACUCAGAGUAUGGGCUGGGAGGGCGAUAAACUAUAGCAAAUACCAGUGGUCUCAUGGUCUUUGAGGCUGAAGACUGAGAACAAGACUUUCAAAAGAGGUAUACUCCAGUUUCGGUCUUGGGUUAAUUCAAAGACUGGAAUUGUAAAUAGCUGCAACUCCACCACCUCGGCCAGAGGCCCGAGGAAUGUAAAAGCUUAGGUGGCUAGGAGGAGUGGAUUCAUUCAAGCUGACAUAUUCAUCCUGACGCAACCAAGUUUCGGUUAGGGAGAGUAAAUCAAUGCGAUGAUCAGAGAUUAGUUCAUUUAUUAACACAGCUUUGGAACUUAGAGACCUUGUGUUCAGUAGACCACAUUUUAUCUUACUACUACUCGGUUCAGCUAUGUUACCAGUUUUAAUUCUAGAAAGGUUCUUGUUAUUUACUCUUUUGUUAAUCGAUCGGUUAGAAUUAAAGAGCCAAGGAUGAGGGACAGACACAGUCUCUAUAUUAAAGUGACAGUAGCUAGGAGGCUGCUCUGAACAAAAGUGCAGAGGAAUGUGUAGAACUGCGGCUAUGCUCCCUGAUCUCUAUAUCAAACUGAUUGUAGCUAUGAAGCUGCUCUGAAGGGAGUACAGAGGGGCGUGUAGGACUGCGGCUCUGCUCCCUGAUCUCUAUAUCAAACUGAUUGUAGCUAGGAGGCUGCUCUGAGGGGAGUACAGAGGAGCGUUUAAGACUGCAGCUCUGCUCCCUUGUCUCUGUAUAUAAGUGAUAGUGGCUGGGAAGCUGCUCUAAAGGAGGCGCAGGGGGGCGUGUAGGACUGUGGCCCUGCUCCCUGAUCUCUGCUCUGAAUUGUCAGUGUUUCGGACUAAUAAAAUCAGCCAGAUUUCUGAAUAAACGGGCCGCUCUAUCUCGAGUGGGAUGAAUGCCGUCCUAACUAAUCAGACCAGGCUUGCCCCAAAACGACUUCCAAUUAUCAAUGAAGCCCACGCCGUUUUGCGGACACCGCCUCGACAGCCAGCGGUUGGAUGAUGAGAUAUGGCUACAUAUCUCAUCAGUUGUCUGAUCAGGCAGGGGACCAGAGAAAACUACGGAGUCCAACAUGGUUUUGGCAUAUUCACACACCGAUUCCACGUUCAAUUGAGUGACUUCCGACUGGCGGCGCCAGGAGUCAUUAACGCCGACAUAUAUUACAAUCUUACGGAAUUUACAUUUAGCCUUUGCCUACACUUAAAGCAGGUAUCGUUAUCGUCUAAGGAGGAUGAAGAGUAACUAAACAUCUGACACACUGAGCGGAAGCGAGCAGAAGAAGCAGGAGACCAGGGGGCAGCCAUUGUUAGCAAGUGAAGCUAAGAGAAGCUAAGCUAAGAGAAGCUACCAGCUAGUAAAGUAAAGUAAACCACCAGAGAGAUCACCCGAAAUGGAGAUAAAGAUGGUGCUUGGUGAAAACUAUCAGAUAUACUUUUAAACAAACAGAUGUAUUGAUAGAUUAAAGAGAGAAUGGGGUGUAGAUUGGCCUGAGCAAAUGUGGUGCCGGUGGAACGAAAGCCUUCGGAGGAGUUAGCGAAAUUCCAAUGUGUGCGGAUCGGCAAAAAAUGCAGAAUAACCCUUUAACCGUACAUUUGACAGAUACGCGCGCAUUGACUUUUUCGUAGAUCUUAUUGAGUUACAUGUGUGUGUCAAUUUUUGUGUCAUUUUGACAAAGCGUAGAGGCGUGACACUCAACAAUGUGUAUUUUCACCUUAGGGGACAAGAAAAAAUGGACUUUUUUCUCCUGCCAUGGGGGGGCGCUCUUUUGGGGAGUAAAAAUUCCUUCACAAAUGUGUUGAUGGCUGGACAUUGCAUCAUCCUAGAAAACUUGGAGGCCAGUGAGGACAAAAAUAAAAAGUUAUAAGACUUUUAAAUAUGUGGAUUUUAGUGUUAUCUUUGGCGCCCCCUAGAACCUAAACCUUGGGGUGCAGCGUCAUGAUUUUGAUAACUUUUAAUGGCCACGGGGUGUAGAUUGGCCUGAGCAAAUGUGGUGCCGGUGGAACGAAAGCCUUCGGAGGAGUUAGCGAAAUUCCAAUGUGUGCGGAUCGGCAAAAAAUGCGAAAUAACCCUUUAACCGUACAUUUGACAGAUACGCCCGCACUGACUUUUUUGUAGAUCUUAUUGAGAUACAUGUGUGUGUCAAUUUUUGUGUCAUUUUGACAAAGCGUACAGGCGUGACAGUCAAUAGUGUGAAUUUUCACCUUAGGGGGCGCUAUGGAGCCAUUUUGCAUUUUCUUGUUUGGGCGACUUCGGAAUAUCAAAUUUUUCACCAGGCCCGGUCGUCCUGCCAAAUUUCCUGAGUUUUCGCCAGUGGGAAGUGGGCCAUUUUCCAGUUCAAAGGGGAGGAAAAAGAAGAAAGAAAGAAACAAAGACUAGGGCCCCGGUGGGGCACUGUCGGGCCCGAGCCGCGUCGCGCCGCCCCUAGCGCGACCGCCUCCCCCUCCCGAUCGCGUCACACUCAAGGUCCAAAGAUGGUGUGCGCACUUGUCUGUGGUCAUUUCCCAUUAUAAUGAAUGGGAGGCGCAGUUUCUACCAAAACACUCGCUGCAGACAAACUUCAUGUCCUAUUUGAAAAAAGUCUGGACCAUGAGUGAGGGCACAAACACAGCUAUGAUAUAUCGAAAUGGCAGGUUGCUCCUCCUUACGGUGUUGCCUGGAGAGCGAUGCGAUUGAGCCAUUGAGCGAUGGGCAGGGUUAACUUGACUUUUUCUCCUGCCUUGGGGGGGAUGUGGAUUCCUUUAAGAAUGUGGAUUUUUGGGUCAUCUUUGGCGCCCCCUAGAAGGUAAACCGUGGGGUGCAGCGUCAUGAUUUUUACAACUUUGAAUGGCCAUGGGGUGUAGAUUGGCCUGAGCAAAUUUGGUGUCAGUGGGACGAAAGCCUUAGGAGGAGUUAGCCACAUUCCAAUGUGUGCGAAUCGGCAAAAAAUGCAAAAUAGCCCUUUAAACGUACAUUUGACAGAUACGCGCGCAUUGACUUUUUUGUAGAUCUUAUUGAGAUACAUGUGUGUGUCAAUUUUUGUGUCAUUUUGCCAAAGCGUACAGGUGUUACACUCAACAAUGUGUAUUUUCACCUUAGGGGACCAGAAAAAAUGGACUUUUUUCUCCUGCCAUGGGGGGGCGCUCUUUUGGGGAGUAAAAAUUCCUUCACAAAUGUGUUGAUGGCUGGACAUUGCAUCAUCCUAGAAAACUUGGAGGCCAGUGAGGGCAAAAAUAAAAAGUUAUAAGACUUUUAAAUAUGUGGAUCUUAGGGUUAUCUUUGGCGCCCCCUAGAACCUAAACCGUGGGGUGCAGCGUCAUGAUUUGAAUAACUUUUAAUGGCCAUGGGGUGUAGAUUGGCCUGAGCAAAUGUGGUGCCGGUGGAACGAAAGCCUUCGGAGGAGUUAGCGAAAUUCCAAUGUGUGCGGAUCGGCAAAAAAUGCGAAAUAACCCUUUAACCGUACAUUUGACAGAUACGCCCGCACUGACUUUUUUGUAGAUCUUAUUGAGAUACAUGUGUGUGUCAAUUUUUGUGUCAUUUUGACAAAGCGUACCGGCGUGACAGUGAAUAGUGUGAAUUUUCACCUUAGGGGGCGCUAUGGAGCCAUUUUGCAUUUUCUUGUUUGGGCGACUUCGGAAUAUCAAAUUUUUCACCAGGCCCGGUCGUCCUGCCAAAUUUCAUGAGUUUUCGCCAGUGGGAAGUGGGCCAUUUUCCAGUUCAAAGGGGAGGAAAAAUAAUAAUAAUAAUAACAAACUAGGACCCCGUUGGGGCACUGGCGGGCCCGAGCCGUGUCGCGUCCCCCCCCCCCCCCCAACGUGCUGCCUCCCCGUCCCAUUUGUGUCCUCUGGCCAUCGUCCUCUCUGGUAACGCCCAUCACUGCAAAGACCCUUUCCUUCAUCGGCGUUUGCUGUUCUUCCUGCCAGUGCGUGUUGCUUUCACUUACACUUGCCACAGCCAGCCUCGUGAGUGCCUAGCCUAUUGGAUAUCACUGUCAUCUACACAGGACAGUCAUAACCUUUCUAUUAAUACUUUGUUUUUUAAUUUCACAUUAAUUUCCAUAUUGUAUAAAUGACUGGAAAAAACUUGAGCCCCUGCCCCUGUAUAAUCAUGUGCACGUCCCUGUUCUAGCUCCAAGGUGAAUCUUCACUGCUCAUGUUCUCCUCAGAAAUAGUCACCUCACUCCCCUCAGGUUACUGUACACAUGCACCAACUAUCUGCUUCAGGUUUGGAUGGAGCUUCAUGGUUGUCUUUUGGAGAAAUGAACAGUCAAGUUGUGUUUGAAAUUUGAUUUUUUUCAGGGGCAAAAGGAGCCUCUGCAUUCUUGUCAAAUAUGUAAACAGCAUGUUUUUGCAGGUGCUAAAAAACAGACUCUGAGUGUGUGUGUGUGUGUGUGUGUGUGUGUGUGUGUGUGUGUGUGUGUGUGUGUGUGUGUGUGUGUUGGCGUGUGUGUAUAUGUGUGUGUAUCCUGCAGUACUCUGUACUCCUGCAGUGGCCAAAAAGACUUUUAAGAAUGUGGAUUUUUGGGUCAUCUUUGGCGCCCCCUAGAACUGCAGUACUCUGUACUCCUGCAGUGGCCAAAAUGACUUUUAAGAAUGUGGAUUUUUGGGUCAUCUUUGGCGCCCCCUAGAACGUAAACCGUGGGGUGCAGCGUCAUGAUUUUUACAACUUUGAAUGGGCAUGGGGUGUAGAUUGCCCUGAGCAAAUUUGGUAUCAGUGGGACGAAAGCCUUAGGAGGAGAUAGCCACAUUCCAAUGUGUGCGAAUCGGCAAAAAAUGCGAAAUAGCCCUUUAACCAUACAUUAUACAGAUACGCGCUCUUUGACUUUUUCGUAGAUCUAAUUGAGAUACACAUGAUUGUCAAUUUUUGUGUCAAUAUGACAAAGCGUUCAGGCGUGACACUCAACAAUGUGUAUUUUCAUGUAAGGGGACAAGAAAAAAUGGACUUUUUUCUCCUGCCAUGGGGGGGCGCUCUUUUGGGGAGUAAAAAUUCCUUCACAAAUGUGUUGAUGGCUGGACAUUGCAUCAUCCUAGAAAACUUGGAGGGCAGUGAGGACAAAAAUAAAAAGUUAUAAGACUUUUAAGAAUGUGGAUUUUUGGGUUAUCUUUGGCGCCCCCUAGAACCUAAACCGUGGGGUGCAGCGUCAUGAUUUGUACAACUUUUAAUGGCCAUGGGGUGUAGACUGGCCUGAGCAAAUGUGGUGCCGGUGGAACGAAAGCUUUCGGAGGAGUUAGCGAAAUUCCAAUGUGUGCGGAUCGGCAAAAAAUGCGGAAUAACCCUUUAACCGUACAUUUGACAGAUACGCGCGCAUUGACUUUUUCGUAGAUCUUAUUGAGAUACAUGUGUGUGUCAAUUUUUGUGUCAUUUUGCCAAAGCGUACAGGUGUUACACUCAACAAUGUGUAUUUUCACCUUAGGGGACAAGAAAAAAUGGACUUUUUUCUCCUGCCAUGGGGGGGCGCUCUUUUGGGGAGUAAAAAUUCCUUCACAAAUGUGUUGAUGGCUGGACAUUGCAUCAUCCUAGAAAACUUGGAGGCCAGUGAGGGCAAAAAUAAAAAGUUAUAAGACUUUUAAAUAUGUGGAUCUUAGGGUUAUCUUUGGCGCCCCCUAGAACCUAAACCGUGGGGUGCAGCGUCAUGAUUUGAAUAACUUUUAAUGGCCAUGGGGUGUAGAUUGGCCUGAGCAAAUGUGGUGCCGGUGGAACGAAAGCCUUCGGAGGAGUUAGCGAAAUUCCAAUGUGUGCGGAUCGGCAAAAAAUGCGCAAUAACCCUUUAACCGUACAUUUGACAGAUACGCCCGCACUGACUUUUUUGUAGAUCUUAUUGAGAUACAUGUGUGUGUCAAUUUUUGUGUCAUUUUGACAAAGCGUACCGGCGUGACAGUGAAUAGUGUGAAUUUUCACCUUAGGGGGCGCUAUGGAGCCAUUUUGCAUUUUCUUGUUUGGGCGACUUCGGAAUAUCAAAUUUUUCACCAGGCCCGGUCGUCCUGCCAAAUUUCAUGAGUUUUCGCCAGUGGGAAGUGGGCCAUUUUCCAGGUCAAAGGGGAGGAAAAAUAAUAAUAAUAAUAAUAACAAAAGAAGGAAACUACAGGAACAAGAGGGCUCUCGCAGCUGCUUAGCAGCUACGCUCGGGCCCUAAAGAAGGAAACUACAGGAACAAGAGGGCUCUCGCAGCUGCUUAGCAGCUACGCUCGGGCCCUAAAAAACCCCUACAGGAAUAACAGGGCCUACGCCCGGCUGCUCUGCAGCUGGCUCGGGCCCUAAUAACAGCAACAACAACUACAAAAAAAAACAAAAAAAAAACAUCUCUGGAGUAACCCAACUCAAAAUCGUUGUUAGAAUCUGAACCUGUCAGCGGCAAAAACAAAAAGCUUUACUGACCAUACUAAGCUGUUGUCCAGUUUGAUGACAUUCUUCCUUGAACUGAAAAGGCUCACACUACAAAAUAAAACCAGAAAGUUAUGGUUCAUUUGGUGAUGUAUUUUACAUAGGUUAUGUUAAGUUACAUAUUUUUUAAAAAAUAUUAACAGCAGCAACACCAGUAGUACCAUCAUCAGUGGACAACAACUGUGUAAGAGUUUAAUAAGGGGGGCUUACUUUGGUUUAAAUAAAGGAAAAAAAGGAGUAGCACUUAUGUACCCACCAAAAAUGUUACUCAACUAGAAUCAGUCUGGUGUUUUCAAGAGUUUGUUUUAACACUGAGAGAGCCUGUUUACUUGAGAACUACAUGUUAUUUGCUGCAUUAGGUUUACAGAAUAAUCCCAAGUUUUUAGAUAAACGAUUAAAUCAUUUUGAUACACAGAGUGCCAUUCAGUAACUUUUAUAGAAAAUUAGGUGAUCACUGGAAACACUAAUUUCAACUUUAUAGAUUUACUGUAGGAAGAAUCCUAAAAGCCUGUCAUUGCAGUCAACUCAAGCUCCUUUAUUAAGUCACUCACAUCUUCAUCAAGGUAAUCAAUGAGAUAUCAGAUGACAACUUAUCUGGUUGUCUGGAUGCCAAUUUCACUCUGUUAAGAAGUACUUUUUUACAGUAGACAAUGUACACUUUUUACUCUUGUGCUCACUCUAUCCUUGAGGAAUAUUUAUGCAUGAUAGGUGGAGGAGAGCAGUGGCUUGAGACAGGGGUUAACAGUAAUACCCAGAGUAGAGUGUUCAUUUCUGCACAAUGUCUCUCUCCUUUUUUUUUUUUUUAAUUGGGUGAUGCAAGACAGAUCAUGACAGGUGGUUGACAACAUAUAAACAGUACAAACAGACAUUGGGGACAAGACAAAGUGACUAGUACAGCAGGGACACAACUUUUGCAUACAUUUAUAAAGUGUUGCAAGGCUGUGUUUAAAGUGUGGGUGGAGGGGUGUUUAUUUGUGUGUCGAGAAGUGUGUGUGUGUGUGUGUGUGUGUGUGUGUGUGUGUGUUUGUGGGUGUGAAUUUUCCCCUCUUUUUAAAUUAUGAUAAUUGUUGAGAAGAGAGUAAAAGAGGAAAAGCUUAGCGUUAUGCCAUAAUAAUAAUUACAAUAAUAAUUAUAAUAAAGAAGAGAGAGAGAGAGAGAGAGAAUAAUAUUAAUAAUAAUAAUAGAAGAUAAAAUGAAAAAUAAGUGGAUAUAUAAAUAGUAGAAAAAUAAGUAGAUUUUUAUAAACACACACACACACACAAACAAACACACACACAUACAUAUGUACGUAAAUAUAUAUAUAUAUAUAUUAGGGCUGUCAAUCGAUUAAAAUAUUUAAUCGCAAUUAAUCGAAUUGUGAUCAUAAUUAAUCAUGAUUAAUCGCAAAUUGAUCGCAUAUUUUUGAUCCAUUCUAAAUCGAUCUUUUUUAAAUUGUUUUACUUUUAUCAACAUGAGAAUCAACAUGAGAACAGAUCGUGGAUUUUCGUGGUAAUGGUGGUCCUACAAGGUAAUUAAUAUGUCCAGUCAACGUCCUGCACAAUGCUAAUCGUCCGAUUUCUGUUUCACAUUCACCGUUGUUUGCUUGAGGCGGGGGGGGGGGGGGGGGGGGGGGGCUCUCUGCAUCAGCUCAUCAGCUGUGUGCUUGGCCGACAAGUGAUAUUUGAGACUAGAUGUACUCCGAUGACUAAAUUCAGCUCGACAGGAAACACAAAUGACUUUUGUCCUGUCAAGAGAGCCAUCUGACAAGGCUUUGUAGCUGAACUAUCUGUUCAAAAUCGUGUUCUUAUCCAUUAUAUCCUAGUUACUGCUCACGGGGAUUUGUUUAUGCCUGCUGCGGUAUCAGUCAGUGCUCUACUUCCUGAUUCGCGAAACUACGGAGUGCCCCGAGGCUCACAUAGCCUGGACACCUCACCAACUGUUCCUCUACCCUUUUACAACGGCAAGAAUAUCCAUGCAGUGUGUGUAUAGUUUGAUCAAGCCAGGCUAAGGCUUCCGUUAAUCGUGUGUCAAAAAAAUUAGUGGCGGUAAAAGUCACUUGAGUUAACGCGACAAUAACGCGUUAACUUUGACAGCCUUAAUAUAUAUGUGGCAGGCAGCACCUUGCUGCUAUUGAAUGCAGCUCUCCCUCCUCCUCUAACCCCUCCCUUCCCCUAAUCAGGUCAGCUGAACAAAAGGCAGCAGCUCACCUGCAGUCGGCCUUCUGAUCUGCUCAGAGUGCUGGUGAGUAGGGUGGCUGGUAACUUUUUAAUCUUUAGAGUUUUAUGAUUGCUUUUAACAGCAUGUCCUUUUUGUUUGUAGGUGGUAGACCUGCUGCUGUUUUGUUGCCCCCAUUAAUUGUAGUUAUUUUUGCCUGUUUACUUUGAUUGUUUCUGCCCUUUUGAUUGGUUUCCCCCCUUACUUGGUUUGUUUCUACUUCUAAGUUUGGUUGUUUUACAUAGUUACUCCCCCAUUAGUUUGCAUUCUGUUCUUAGUUACCCUUAGUUGCUUUUCUCCUUAGUUCCCUCUAGUUUUACCAACUGGGUUCGCUGGGUUGUUUGUUUGUUUCUUUGGUUAAUCCUUUUAUUUUAUUUCAGAGGUUGAGCCCACUAGUUUGGGAGGCUAGGCACCCCGGGUGAGGGCCCUCCACCUUUGCAUGAGUUUGACACCGGGUCACAAGACUACACCGAUUUUGUUUCUUUUGUUGAAGGUUUGCAGUGUGUGUGCUGUGCUUCACUUGGUGAGUAUAAGGGAGCACCCCCCUGCACUUUCCCUCUGUAGUCUGCCUCCCUUCUGGUGGCCUCAGCUUAUCUUAAGUUAACUUAGUUUGGGUUUCUUUGAUUUAGUUUAAGUUGGGGUUAUUGUACUUUUUAACUUUUGUAGAAGGCCUUGUUUUAAAUUUUAUUAUAGAAAUAAAAUUAACUUUCUUGCCCCUUAUCUGUGUUUUGUUAUGUUGUUUUAACUUUAUCCCUUUCUUUCCCACCUAGGUUAAAUUUCUCAGUUAUAUUUACGUUUAACUUCAUUUUUUUUAUCUAAUAAACAUUUUGAAAUAUUUUGAACUCUGUCUCUGCCUCUUCAGAACUUACCUGUGUUGCCUUUAUCCUUAUUUUAGCUUCCUGUUUUAGUUUGAAAGUUCAGUUUCCUGGGGUGCAAGUCCCCAGGUGGCGUUGCUGGUUGGAGACAAUAUUCUCUAUUUUUAAAUAAAAUAGCACCCCCUUGCCACAUUCUGGCGUUGCCGGCAGGAUUCUGUUAAAGGCAGAGACGUGUGUAUUUUUCCUUCUUUUGCAACCCAGUUGGUGUAGAUUUUUUUUUUUUCUUCCUUUUCUAUUGGUAUUUUUGUGUUUGUGGGGCAAAACAGCAGCAGGUCCGGAGGGAUCCCUGUGCUGCACCCCUGGUACUCUGCUAAUCUCCUCUGCUCUGCUUCCCCAUGGAGGAGGAAAUCGCUCAACUGAAGGAGCUGGUCGCCCAGCUGCAGGCUGAGAAUCAACGCAUGCGUCAAGAGUGGCAGUCCAGUCUUCCUGGGCCCAGCACCUCAAGCUCAACUACAUCUGGCCCCCCUACAGUUAACAAUAUGGUAACUGAAAGACUGGUUUACCUUCCUCGGGAGAGAAAAUGUCCCAUGUUUAGGGGCAGGACUGGAAUUAGCAUUGUUGAGUGGGUGGAAGAAGUCCAUGCUUGCACCCGUGCUAGAAAUAUGUCCACAGUUGAGCAAGCACUUUUCCUUUUUGACCAUUUAGAGGGGGAAGCCAGAGAAGAGAUUAAGUACAGACCUCAGCAGGAACGGGAAGAUCCAAACAAGGUUUUGGCUAUAUUACAGGAACUGUAUGGGUGUUCAAGGUCUUAUGUGUCUUUGCAAGAGGAGUUUUUCUCUAGAAAACAACAAGAUGGGGAAACAUUGCAAGAAUUUUCACAUGCUUUAUUGUGUCUAAUGGACAAGGUUGAUAAAAAGACACCAAAUGUUCUUCCUAACAAAGAUGUGUUACUGAGAGACCAAUUUGUUGAACAUGUUGUUGAUUGCUCCCUUCGCAGAGAACUGAAGCAAUAUGUCAGAAGCCACCCUACAGCCAGCCUGAUAGAUGUCCGCAGUGAGGCUAUUAGGUGGGAGCAGGAGGGAUUGUCCACCAGUGGGAGGGGUAGAAGCCACUCUGUGCCUAAUGUCUUUGGUUUUCAACAAACUGUUCAGCAAGGGUACCCCAAUCAUAGCCAGGCAGGUAGCUCCUUCAAUUCUGAGUUAGGUGAGCUGAAAGAAAUCCUUAAAAACCAGCAAGAGCAACUGAAUAAGCUAACUCAAAGUUUAGCCACCUUAAACGAUGUUCAAAACACCCAACCAAAUGGCCGCAGGAAAAAUGUCAUUUGUAGGAGGUGUCAUAAGCCUGGCCACUUUGCUAGGGAGUGUGAGGAAGAGUUCCCAGCCCCACAGCCUCCUGUUCAUUCAAUGCAGUUUCGCUCUAAUGGUAGACAGCCCUCUCAGAACCAGGGAAACUUUCGCCCCCUGAACCAUUGAGCCAAAGUUCAGGUGGGGGCCCCUUAGGCUCAGACUCUGCUGCUAAUAAUCCUGAUAACUUGGUGUAAGUCUGCCCAACCUUAGCUGUACUUAUGGGGGGAGUUUCAGUUCCAUGCCUGGUUGAUACAGGUUCAAUGGUGUCAACUAUAACUGAAAGUUUCUUUGCUCAACAUUUUGAACCAUGGGGUCCAGACAAACUCCAGUGUUGUAAUUGGUUGAGAUUGAGUGCAGCUAAUGGUUUGGCCAUACCGUACAUUGCAUACCUGGAGUUAGAUGUUCAGCUGUGCGGCAGAGUCAUAGCAAAGCGAGGUGUUUUGGUGGUCAGGGAUCCCCCACACAGUGAACAUUCAGUUCCAGGUGUCCUUGGUAUGAACAUCAUAAAGGAAUGUUACCAGGAGUUGUUUGUACUUCAUGGCCCUGCUCUGUUUAACUUACCUUCUGUGUUGCAGGCCCCUAUCCAAGUUCAGCAGGCCUUUCAAAAGUGUCAUCAGGCCCAAGCAGCUGCCCCUUCUGGUCAUUCCAGUCGGGUCAAGGUGAAAGGUGGGAGGGUUUGUAGAGUUCCUGGGGGUUCUCUAAAAAUUGUGGCAGCCACCUGCUCUCAGCAUCACCUUGGGGAAGUUUUGUUUGAGCCCCUUAGCACAGGUUUGCCUGCAGGUCUGCUAGCAUCCCCAGCACUCGUUCAGGUGAGCAGAGGCACAGCUUACAUCCCUGUUGUAAAUGUUGGAAGCCAGGAUGUUGUACUGUACCCGAGAACCGUUCUUGGCACCUUGAGUAAUGUUCACCUUGUGAGCUCGCCCACAGGUCUGGUAGAGGGGGAAGUAGCAGCCACACUUUCUUCUCAGACAGCGACCAGUUCAGUGCAAGAUAAGGUUGAUGCACUUGAUUUAACGGCCCUUACAGAACAGGAACAAGUACAAGUCAGGUCCUUGUUGCACAAGUACAGUGGUGUCUUUUCUUCACAUGAAAGUGACAUAGGAUGCACAAACCUCAUUUCUCAUGACAUACCUUUAGUGGAUGAGGUCCCAGUACGUCAGAGAUACAGACGCAUCCCCCCUUCAGAGUAUGAGGCAGCAAAGGCUCACAUUCACCAGCUUUUAGAGGCCCAGGUUAUUAGAGAAAGUAGUAGCCCCUUUGCCUCUCCUAUUGUGUUGGUGAAAAAGAAGGAUGGUAGCCUCCGGUUGUGUGUGGACUACAGGCUCCUCAACAGCAAGACCCGAAAGGAUGCGUUUCCCUUGCCCCGCAUAGAGGAAUCCCUCGACGCUCUCUCAGGUGCCCAAUGGUUUUCAACCUUGGAUCUAGCUGCUGGAUAUAAUCAGGUACCAGUGACUGAGAAGGACAAAAUGAAGACUGCAUUUUGCACCCCAUUUGGGUUGUUUGAGUGGAACCGCAUGCCAUUUGGGUUAUGCAAUGCACCAAGUACCUUCCAGAGAUUAAUGGAGAGAAUCUUUGGAGAUCAGCAUUGUCAAUCAUUGUUACUGUACCUGGAUGAUGUGGUUGUGUUCUCUUCCUCUGUAGAGGAGCAUGUGAAACGCUUGGAUGUUGUGCUGGGUCGCCUACAAAAGGAGAAUCUCAGAGCCAAGCUAGAGAAGUGCACAUUCUUCAAACCAGAGGUGAGCUACCUUGGCCAUGUAAUAUCCAGGCAUGGUGUAUCUACAGACCCUAACAAGAUAGAAGUGGUGUCAAAGUGGCAGCACCCUGACCAAGUCUCGGAGCUGCGGUCUUUCUUGGGAUUUGCCAGCUACUACCGACGCUUUAUUGAAGGUUUUGCUAAGCUGGCUGCCCCCUUGCAUCACCUAGUGGCUGAGUUGACAGGAACAAAAUCUAAAAAACCAACAGGAAGGAGUCUGAGUGCUGCAUGGACUACAGAGUGUGAGCGGAGCUUUGAGGAACUCAAAACACGGUUAGUGACUGCUCCUGUUUUAGCCUAUGCUGACUUCAACUUGCCCUUCAUCUUGGAGGUUGAUGCUAGUUAUAGCGGGCUGGGUGCUGUCCUUUCACAAGAACAGAAUGGGAAGGUUCGACCCGUAGCUUAUGCCAGCCGAGGUCUCAAACCCGCAGAGCGUAACAUGGACAAUUAUAGCUCCAUGAAAUUGGAGUUUCUGGCUUUGAAAUGGGCCAUGACAGAAAAAUUCAGAGACUAUCUGUUAGGACAAAAGUGUAUGGUGUACACGGAUAACAACCCCCUCAGCCACCUAUCCACAGCAAAACUAGGAGCAACAGAGCAACGCUGGGCAGCACAACUGGCUUCAUUUGACUUCACCAUAAAGUAUUGGCCUGGUCGAAUUAACAAAAAUGCAGAUUCCCUCUCCAGGCAGCACCCAGUCAGCAGAACUGCAGGCUGUGAACCUCAUGGCCUCCCAGUUCCAGAGCAGUUGCAGCAGGCUAUUGAGUCAGGCCAGGUAACAAGAGCCACUCAGGCCACCAUUUCAGCAUUCCCCUCUCUCACUGACUCUGAUUUGUGUGCAUUGCAGGAGGCUGAUCCAACAAUCAGUGACUUUCUUCUGUUUUGGAGCAGAGGAAGGGGCCCUAAUGCAGCAGAAAGAGAGAAAGCCUCAAAGGAUGUCCUGACAUUGGUGAGACAAUGGAGCCGUAUAGAACAGAAAAACGGCAUUCUUCAUUGCGGAGUCUGUCAUCCCAGGGGAGAGGAGGUGUUGCAGCUGGUGCUACCACAGUCUCUAAAAAGUGAGGUUCUGCAUCAAUUACAUCAUGAACAGGGACAUCAAGGUGUGGACCGCACAACAGAUCUGGUCCACCAGCGGUGCUAUUGGCCUAGAAUGCACCAGGACAUCAAAGAAUGGUGCCAAAAGUGUGAACGCUGUCAGGUGGCAAAGCACACUCAACUCACUGCCUGUGCAUAUAUGGGACAUUUACUGGCAUCCCGGCCAAACCAGAUCCUCGCCGUGGACUUCACUAUCCUGGAAUCAUCAAAGAACGGGUUUGAGAAUGUCCUUGUUAUGACAGAUGUUUUCUCCAAAUACACCCAGGCGGUUCCAACCCGAGACCAGCUAGCAUCAACAGUGGCUAAGGUCCUCAUCAAUGAUUGGUUCUGCAGGUUUGGUGUACCGGGGCGUAUUCACUCCGACCAAGGCAGAAACUUUGAGAGCCACCUCAUCAAACAACUCUGCAGCAUGUAUGGGAUAGAGAAGAGUCACACCACCCCCUAUCAUCCAGCUGGUAAUGGACAAUGUGAACGUUUCAAUCGUACACUACACAACCUCCGAUGCACCUUACCAGUAACCAAGAAAAGGGAUUGGGCCAGCUACCUACCUCAGGUGACCUUCUCCUACAACACCACACCACAUCAAUCCACCGGUGAGUCCCCAUAUUUUCUAAUGUUUGGACAAGACCCUCACUUACCUGUAGAUUUCCUUCUGGGCAGAGUACCUGAACCCACAGCUGGCAGCACUCACGCCUGGAUCACAGAGCAUCAAACCCGACUCCAACAUGCAUUUGAGGCAGCUAGACAGCAUCUGGAGGCAGCAGCUGAAAAGCGUAAACAGAACUACGACCGACAUGUGAAGGAUGCUCCCCUACAAGAAGGCAAGCUUGUUUUCCUGAAGGAUGUGGGAGCAAGGGGGCGGCACAAGAUCCAAGACAUCUGGGGCCCAAUACUCUACAAAGUACUUAAGGCUCCAGCCGCUGGAGGAUCAGUGUACACCAUCGCUCCUGCUGACAACCUCGACCAGGUGAAGCAUGUCCACCGCUGCCUGCUGAGAGGUAAAGUGGAUGGUGUGACCGACUGCAACCCACCAGAGACCCCCCAAGUGGCUGAACCUCCUCCCCAGAAUGAAGCUUCAGCAGAUGGUGAAUGGUUUGUUGUGAUUCCUGAGGUAACCCCAGCAACAAGUCAACUUUUACCGACUCAGGCCCCCUUAGCAGCUCCCACAGAAUAUGCUGUACCACCACCUGCUCCUCAAGACCCUCAGCAGCAGUUGGAGGAGACAAACCCUAUAGCUCACAGUGGAGCAUCCCAGCGCAGGACCCCUCGCACAAAUGCUGGCCAACACCCUAACCCACAUCACCUCCCUCAGGCAGCACAGAGUAGGGCAAUAGGGGCUACGAACUCUCACACUCCCGGGCAUACUGCCUUUGUCUUUAGGCCAUGGCAGUAAGAGUAAAUCGUCGGGUCGCCGAUUCAAAACCCAGGGGCAGAUUGUGGCAGGCAGCACCUUGCUGCUAUUGAAUGCAGCUCUCCCUCCUCCUCUAACCCCUCCCUUCCCCUAAUCAGGUCAGCUGCAUAAAAGGCAGCAGCUCACCUGCAGUCGGCCUUCUUAUCUGCUCAGAGUGCUGGUGAGUAGGGUGGCUGGUAACUUUUUAAUCUUUAGAGUUUUAUGAUUGCUUUUAACAGCAUGUCCUUUUUGUUUGUAGGUGGUAGACCUGCUGCUGUUUUGUUGCCCCCAUUAAUUGUAGUUAUUUUUGCCUGUUUACUUUGAUUGUUUCUGCCCUUUUGAUUGGUUUCCCCCCUUACUUGGUUUGUUUCUACUUCUAAGUUUGGUUGUUUUACAUAGUUACUCCCCCAUUAGUUUGCAUUCUGUUCUUAGUUACCCUUAGUUGCUUUUCUCCUUAGUUCCCUCUAGUUUUACCAACUGGGUUUGCUGGGUUGUUUGUUUGUUUCUUUGGUUAAUCCUUUUAUUUUAUUUCAGAGGUUGAGCCCACUAGUUUGGGAGGCUAGGCACCCCGGGUGAGGGCCCUCCACCUUUGCAUGAGUUUGACACCGGGUCACAAGACUACACCGAUUUUGUUUCUUUUGUUGAAGGUUUGCAGUGUGUGUGCUGUGCUUCACUUGGUGAGUAUAAGGGAGCACCCCCCUGCACUUUCCCUCUGUAGUCUGCCUCCCUUCUGGUGGCCUCAGCUUAUCUUAAGUUAACUUAGUUUGGGUUUCUUUGAUUUAGUUUAAGUUGGGGUUAUUGUACUUUUUAACUUUUGUAGAAGGCCUUGUUUUAAAUUUUAUUAUAGAAAUAAAAUUUAACUUUCUUGCCCCUUAUCUGUGUUUUGUUAUGUUGUUUUAACUUUAUCCCUUUCUUUCCCACCUAGGUUAAAUUUCUCAGUUAUAUUUACGUUUAACUUCAUUUUUUUUAUCUAAUAAACAUUUUGAAAUAUUUUGAACUCUGUCUCUGCCUCUUCAGAACUUACCUGUGUUGCCUUUAUCCUUAUUUUAGCUUCCUGUUUUAGUUUGAAAGUUCAGUUUCCUGGGGUGCAAGUCCCCAGGUGGCGUUGCUGGUUGGAGACAAUAUUCUCUAUUUUUAAAUAAAAUAGCAGUGGCGAUUGCUCUAAGACUGCAAGGGAAGCUCAGCUUCCCUUAAAAUGUCACCCCCCAAAAAAAGAAAAAGUGGGGAAAUACGUACUGCUGUGUGUACAUUUCAUUAACUAAAUACGCGCUAGACAGCCUUCAUAUUUUGUUCAGAAUCAGUUUCUUAUCACACUGUGAUAAGAAGCUGAUUCUGCACAACUUCGUUCUCAUUCAUCCUCGCAGCGCCUCAGCGCUUUAAACAGCCGGACGCUCGGCUUCUGCUGACUUCAAUGUGGAAGCUCAAAGUGGGUUGUUCCAGCAGCGAAACUAGACGCUCAUUGGAUAAAUGCUGGGCUUUGUCCCGCCCAUCGGACGCUCAGCUUCUCUGGAGUUCUAUGGCGAGAGGGCGGUCCCAACUUUCUCCCGGACUCCGAGCUUCUGCAUCCAUGAUUGGAUGAGCUGUCUGAGGUGAAAUCUUUUUUGAUUGACAGCUAAACAAGCGAAUCAGCGAUCUUGAAGAAUAAAACAUCUACCAGAGCAUUUUCCAAGUUAUUCAUUCCGUUGUUCUUAACUGCUCCAGAGACUUCACCGAUCCUCAGCGACUUUUGUCUUUGUUAAAAACGACUGCCGUUGUGUUUGGCGUCUCUGUUCUGUUACAUACAAAUAAACAAACACAAUUAUGAUGUAGGCCAGAAAAAUGAGCUUCCCCUCCUUGAAAGACCAGCAGCCGCCACUGAUAUGUACAUAUAUUUAUAUAUAUAUAUAUAUAUAUAUAGAUAGAUAGAUUUAGCAUAAGUGUGCAAUUAAGCACAAGUUUCUGGUCUGUUAUUAAGUAUUCUGCCCCAUAUAUGUAAAUGGAGAAAAUUAAAUUAAAAAAAAAAGAUUGAAUUAAUAAGUAAAUAAAACAAAAUAAAUUAAUUUAUAAAUAAAUGAAAAAAGAUAAGUCAUUGAGUAAUAAAUAAUAAAUACCAUUUCCAUCAAAGGUUGUGGAGGCUAAAUUGUAUAAUAAUAAUCUAUACAAUAUACUAAUAGUGUAAAAUAAUGUACAUGGCAUAAAAGUUAAGUUGUAUAAUAUAAUAGAAUAGAAUAUAGAAUACAUGAUGCAAUAUGAACUAGAUUACAUAGUGAUAUAUUAAUAUCACAUUGAUUAUGUGAUGAUAAGUGAUACAAUAACGAAAUCAUAUAUAUAUAUAUAUACACACACACACACACACACACAUACACACAUACAUACACACAAUUCUGCACACACACUACAGGCCAAAAGUUUGGAAGCAAGAUCAGAUUUGUACAAAAAAAGAUCAUAGUUUCAUAUAUAUAAUUUGCAACACAAUAAACAUGACUAUUGUGUAAAUAGUAAUUUAUCAGAAGACAUUUUGACUAUAAUUAUUAGGUAUUUGAGUUAUUUUGCUUAGACUUUGCUUUCUUUAAAGUAACCUCCUCUGGCUUUAACAACAGCUUGGCAUGUACCAGGCAUUCGUUCCACAAGUUUUUUUUAAGGUAUGUUCCAGGGAUUGCAUUCCAAGCUUUCUUAAGUUCAUUAAGAAGAGACUGCUGAUUCGUGGGACGCAUUUUUCUGACCGAUCGAUCCAAUUCAUCCCACACAAGCUCAAUUGGAGAAAGGUCUGGAGACUGAGGGGGCCAAACCAUCUUUUGAAGAACACCUUCCUCUUCUUUUUUGUCUAGGUAACCCUGACAGAGCUUGGCAGAGUGCUUAGGGUCAUUGUCUUGCUGCAAAACAAACUUAUAAGCCACAAGUCUGAGUCCAGGCGGAACAGCAUGGUGCUGGAGGAUGGAGAGGUACUGUUCCUUCUUCGAGAUACCCUUUACUUCAAACAAAUCUCCUUCUCCAUCUCCUGCAAAACAUCCCCAUACCAUGGAACUACCACCUCCAUGCUAAAUUGUGGGUGUAACACAUGGUGCUUUCAGACAUUCACCAGUUUGUCUGCGGACAUAGACUCUGCGUUUUGAACCAAACAGUGCAAACUUGUUUCUAGUCAUCAUAAGUCCAAUUUUUGUGAGCUUUUGCCCACUCAUAUCUCUUUUUCUUGUUCUGUGGAUGAAGUAGUGUUUUAUUUGCAGAUACACAACCCUUCAGACCAGCCUCUCUCAAACGUCAUUUCACAGAUGUCAAAGAUAUGGGUUUCGACCUUGUCAUGUUGAUUUCCUCCCUUAUUUGUGGUGCUGUCUUUUGCCGAUCUCUCUUACCGAUGACAAUAAUAUGUCUAUCCUCUGCUUUUGUAGUGACUCUCUUUUGUGCAGGUCUUUUUCUAUCACCAUAACUUCCAGGUUCCUCUUGUCUCUUCAGAGUGUAGUGGACUCCUUUGUUAAAGGGGACCUGCCAUCAAAAUGUAAUUUUGUGUGUUUUUUGUGUCAGAUAAGGUCCAUAAUAUGUUCGUCUUAUGUUGUAAAUGUGAAAAAAAAAACAGUUACGUCGUUUGCAUUCUGUAAAGGUUUAAAAUAAAGUAACGGGUAAACCAGGCCAAUUGAAAAAGCAGGUCCCUCUGACGUCGCGCUGACCUUGCUCAUUAUUAUUCAUGAGCGUCCUCGGUGAGCCGUGCCCACUCUCUCGUUCUCGUACUCAUUCAGUCAACAUCACCCUCCAGCCAGAGCGAGACACAGCUACCACUGUAUCCGCUAUGGGUCUCUUCCAAACGACCGGUGUUUCCUUGGGUUCACUGCCGGGAAAAUGAACUUAAAGCUGGGCAGAAUGAAUGAGAAAACACAGCUGGAGAUCUCCGGCUUCUUCUUCAACUUCCACCUCCUCUUUGGACUCGGGGUCUAAAAUAUAUGGUUUAAUACCUGCCAUUUUUAGCCUUUAGCAUAAGGUGACCAGACGUCCCCGAUUUCCGGGGACAGUCCCCGUAUUAGAUGACCUGUCCCCGGCAAAAGCUGUCCCCGAAAAUGUCCCCGAUUUUAGUGUUUCAUGAAUGAGAGCAAAAAUGUUGCGUGUGGGCUCGAACAAUUCAGUAGCCGAAUAGGUAGGAAGCACAAGUAAGCAGUCCUGAACAACAGUUUUUAAGGGGGUUAUUACAAGGGGCAUGCGCUGCUACUAAAUAGUACGCCGCCGCUGCACCGAAUAUCCCCGGAGAUCAUUACAGACAUCUGGGCAUCUUACUUUAGCACACAUUAGCAAAAUGGAUAAACCGAAAUCAGGACCUCCACUGCUGAGCCAAUCAGAGCACAGCAGGCUUCACAGCAGCGAUCCAAUCAGAGCAAAGCUCAUUACCAUAAAUGUUAAUGAGCCAAAAUCAGUUGGUUUUCCUGUACGGUUUUUUAGGCAUACUAAAACAAACCAUCAAAUAACUUUUCAGCUAAAAUUAUGUUGCAAACAUAAUCAGAGGACAUCAAGGAUUAUGAAAAAAUGAUAAAAAUGGGUAUGAAAUUUUGAUGGCAGGUCCCCUUUAAACACCUUUAGGCGUUUUGCAAUUUCUCUUUCUGUGUAUCCUUCUUUCCUCAAUGUACAAAUCUGUACUUUAGUUUCUUUACUCAGUUGCUUCUUUCUAGUCAUUUUUGCGGUAGUUUGAACGCAGUUGAGAUUUAUUAGGAUUUUUGUAUGCAGACUUUCAAAAGCCAAGAAUUUAAACUGAAUAAUCCAAACUGUGAUUUGCAUUUUUCAAGUUGUGACUCUUGCAAAUUUUUCCAACCCUAAAACUAAGCCCUUAUUAUCUUUUGCUGAUAUAUAUUUAGCAAUGGUCUGUCAAUGUAUAUCUAAAGGUAAAUUGAGUAAAAUGGUGCAUUUCCAUGAAAGCAACAUCUGAUCAUGGAGUAAAUACAUCCCAAAAUACAUACAACUCAUGCUGGAAUUCAAAAAAAGAAUUGUGAACAAAAACUUAAAAUUCUCCCAACUUUUUGGCCUGUAAUGGCCUUGCUUCCAAAUUUUGGGCCUGUAGUGUACCUCACUCAACUUAGCGUGGUCUCACUAAACAGUCUUACGACGCUGGUAAUCAACCUCGUAUGUGGAUCCAGCUUUGAUAUGAGCGCGUGCAUGCAUGUAAGGCGGAGCCUGCCACAUCUGACCAAUCACGAACAUGGACCAGUCUGGAGCGUCAGACCAGGCCGGAGAGUGAAAAACCCGGGACUUUACAAACAUGGAGCAGGAGACGAUCUUGAGAAAGUAUGAAGAAUUCAAAUCUAUCAUGAACCUCAAAAGCAACAUCAUCGCUGCUGCAAAAGCACGGAAGGAAUGCUGGUAGAAAAUUGCCGACAAUCUCAAUGCGUAAGUAUAGUGCGCAAAAAAUCUUUGAUGCCAUUAUCACCCUGAAUGCACUGUUCAACAUCUGCUUUUAACAUGCACCAGACAUGUCUAAUUUGUUCAUUCCUAUCAUGUUUAUAUUUUUUGUGUGAUAUGUAGGCCAUAUGAGCCUUUCAUAAAGGUGGUCAUCUGGAAAAGUAAGUGCGUCCGUGUGGUGGUCCCUGAAAACUCUCGCGCGCCGGAGUGCUCCUCGGACAAUGCGAGCACCGAGGUCUAUAGGAUCCUCCAAGAACAGACAAGCCAUUUUUCAAGAGAGCCCAUUGGUCAGUGGGCAGGGUUUUUAUACCCGGUGAGUUCAAGCUGGAACCUAACCUGCCCCGGAGCAGGUUAGACGUUCAGCGUAUGUUGCCAUGGAGACUCACCUCGCUAAGAAGUGAACCCGCGUCGUAGAACAGGAAACCCCAAACUUACCCCCAAAGUUACCUUGCUAAACAGUAAUCCUGCUUCGUAGAAUAGGCCCCUGGCUUCACUCUCAUAAGGUCAGACAGAGUUGCUCAAGCUGGUGGCAAGAAGAAAGGAGGAGGUCUGGCUUUACUUGUCAACUAGAGAUGGUGUAACCCUUCACAUAUAACUAUCAAGGAGAAGUUGUGCUGUCCAGAUAUUGAACUGUUGGCAGUUGCUCUUCAGCCAUAUUAUGUUCCAAGAGAAUUCAGUCCUACAAUAACAAUAGUUGUAUACAUUCCACCCAAAUUAACUGAAGAAAUUCCAUGCGAUCGUUUGCACAACCGGGCUACAGACUCAACACCCGGAGGCACUAUUAGUAAUAUCAGGAGACUUCAACCAUGUCACCCUCUCCUCUCACCUGACUGGAUUCACACAGUUUGUGAACUGUCCUACCAGAGAAAACAAAACCCUGGAUCUGCUCUCUGGAUCCCUGGAUAUUCCCAAAUCCUGUGUGAGGGAUGGUGUGUUGGUUUUGAUACCCAAAAUGCAAAACCAGACUGAGGAAAGGUAAAACAGGUUCAUUUCAGAGGUAAUGUGGGUGAGAAGUGGGUCCAGAGUCCAACAGAGUGUGCCGGGUUGUAAGCUGGUGAGAGGCACGGAGGGAGGCACUGGAAUAAGAGAAGAGAAAAGCAAGGGUUAAACACAAGGAUCAAAAAAACAUUUAAAAAAUCUUGAGUUCUUGAGAGGGCUGUUGUACCACGGAGUGAAGGCGAUAAUAUUCUGGCGCUGAGGCUUGUGACUGCAACUGAAGUCUUAAAGCUGGCUUGAUUGCAGAAUGGAUACAGGUGAGUCUCAGCGCCUCAGUUGGGGGAAGCGAGCUGCCUCUGGAGACCAUUGCUGUGUCCGAAUUGCCCGCUCGCAUACUACAUGCUACUGCUGCAUACUACUGCUAGAUCCUACUCCUACAUACUAAACACGUUGGCCCAAUUCGGACACACUAGACGAGUGGUGGGGAAAGACGACCCCCGCAGGCAGAGAGUAGGUACUGCGCCCGUUUUAGACUCUGAAUGGUAAUUGUGCAAGUGAUGGAUGCUGCUGUAUUAUAUUCCUGCACUGCUUUAGAAAUUCACAAAGUAGCUUUUCCAUUACUUUUAGCCUUCAU